CCGGCUCGCGCAUACUCUGCGCGACUCUGGCUGGAUAAAAGAGACUAUCUCGUUCACAUCCUGCUUUCUCUGCCAAUUUUUUGUCACAGGCUUUUUUACGUUUUAUACUAGGAGCACCUAGUAUUUGAAAUAUCCUCUUCUCGUGUCUUUCUCGUUUGAUCUGCACCUCCAGGCACAAUUUUAAUAAACAAAUGUGUAUUCAACCUGGUCCUUUCUUAUUUUUCAGUCAGUGUUUUCCAUAGCUGUCGUCGUAUUUCACUGCGUGGUUUCAAUUUACACAAUAUUUGAUGUGUUUCUCAGACAGACGGUGGUUAAAUAUUCUUAUACAAAUAACAUGGUUGCCGUUCUACUGUAUCACACCAUUGCAAUUACUGCAUUAUUAAUAUCUGGUCAAAGCGUCAAAAAUGAAGUUGGGACACUCAACAAAGCGCUGGCAAGACUUAUUCUAAAAGUUUCCACACAUUGUCCAAAAUCAGGAGCAAGACAAAUAAAGGAUGUGUAUCGCUUAGUGUGCACGAGUUCCAUAGUAAUACAAGCGAACAAGUAUCCUUUGGGCAUCUAUAUUCUUCCUGCGAUACUGUCAAUGUCGGCCACGUAUAUUGUCGUCAUGUUACAAAUUAACCAUGUUGUGUAAUUGUACAGUCGCAAAAAUUUCAACUUCGACGAAUAAAAUCCUUUAAAAUGA